AACCAAAGGCUUAUUAACAGGAAUAAAGUACAAAGUAAACAAGGAGAAAAAAAUUUCCAUAAACUUUAAAAAAAUGAAUUGUUGAAUAACCGAAGAAUGUUGUUAUUAGAAUGUUAUAGGUUAAUCUUACGUUUGUUUUCACUCGGAUUAAAAGUGAUCCGCAAAUUUAGCAUUGUAUAAAUAUGGUAGAUACCAUUAUAAAGUUCAUCAUCAUCAUAGUUGGCCAGCCAGCUCAAUCCUCCAUUAUGAAGUUUGUGCAAUGAAAAGACAUCCCAGAAUUUAUACCUGAAGAAACCCGUGUGCCUCUUACUCUUCAAAGUGAUCCCAAAAUUUACAAUUGUAAAUAUUGUUUCUACCUUACUCGUGGUGUGAGUAAUAUGGUUCGACAUUUAAAAAUUCAUAUUGGAGAAAAACCAUAUGUCUGCAAUAUAUGUCAAAAAAGUUAUAAACAGAGAUCAUAUCUUAAAGUGCAUAUGCAAGUUCAUUCUGGUGAACUCAGCUUCUUUUGUUCCAUUUGCAGUCGUGGAUUUUCAUCAAAACAAUCAUUAACUAACCAUACUACUGUGAAGCAUGAACGUUAAAAUACAUUUAAUCAAUCUCAUUUUCUUUAGUAUAUUUUUUAUAGUUAGAUGUAUGCAGUAAUAGUAUUUAUUUUAUAGCUUGUCAUACAAUGUGGUUUGAAUUUGUUUUAAAGCCCAAACUCUGUCAUUGCUUGUCUGUAUUUGUGUGUUCAACAUUUUUUAAAUACUUAAUUCAAUACUUUUUCAAAACUUAAUUUAACAUAAUUCAAAAUACAAGUGGAGAAAUAAUAUUAAAUAACAUAUAGUUUUAUAGAUGCAUAUAUAUAUUUUCAUGUCCAAAGCAUUAUGUUGUUUAAAAAUCAUCUGAGAUUGUUGUUUCUUUGAUUAUUAUCUGAUCACUUGCUUUGAAAGUUAUUAUUUAUUAUAUAUUUUAAACUGCCACUUCAAUUAAAUUACAUAAAAUUGUAAUUUCACCUUUUUAGAACUAACUUACUAGUUUACUACGCAAUCAAAAGAGUUUCAGUAUUUUUUUGUUUUUAUUUAUUUUUGCCUUUUUUUAGAACUUCCCAUUAGUAUAACUUAAAUACCUUAUUUGGUCAUGAAGUAUCAAAUGAGUUUGUUUCGUUUUUAUUAUUAUUUAUUUUGUUUAUUUAUUUUUUGCACAUCUAACGAUAACCUUUCAGGGGAUACUUCAAAAAAAAAAAAAAAAAUAUUCAUUUCAGGAACUUUUAU